CUACGGGAGGCUGCAGUGGGGAAUAUUGCGCAAUGGAGGAAACUCUGAUGCAGCAACGCCGCGUGGAGGAUGACACUUUUCGGAGCGUAAACUCCUUUUAUAUAGGAAGAUAAUGACGGUACUAUAUGAAUAAGCACCGGCUAACUCCGUGCCAGCAGCCGCGGUAAUACGGAGGGUGCAAGCGUUACUCGGAAUCACUGGGCGUAAAGAGCGUGUAGGCGGGUUAAUAAGUCAGAAGUGAAAUCCUGUGGCUCAACCAUAGAACUGCUUUUGAAACUGUUAACCUAGAAUAUGGGAGAGGUAGAUGGAAUUUCUGGUGUAGGGGUAAAAUCCGUAGAGAUCAGAAGGAAUACCGAUUGCGAAGGCGAUCUACUAGAACAUUAUUGACGCUGAGACGCGAAAGCGUGGGGAGCAAACAGGAUUAGAUACCCCCGUAGUC
rnacentral:rRNA from 1 species